AUUGAACGCUGGCGGCAUGCCUUACACAUGCAAGUCGAACGGCAGCACGGGAGCAAUCCUGGUGGCGAGUGGCGAACGGGUGAGUAAUAUAUCGGAACGUGCCCAGUCGUGGGGGAUAACGUAGCGAAAGCUACGCUAAUACCGCAUACGAUCUAUGGAUGAAAGCGGGGGAUCGCAAGACCUCGCGCGAUUGGAGCGGCCGAUAUCAGAUUAGGUAGUUGGUGAGGUAAAGGCUCACCAAGCCGACGAUCUGUAGCUGGUCUGAGAGGACGACCAGCCACACUGGGACUGAGACACGGCCCAGACUCCUACGGGAGGCAGCAGUGGGGAAUUUUGGACAAUGGCGCAAGCCUGAUCCAGCAAUGCCGCGUGCAGGAUGAA
rnacentral:rRNA from 1 species